rnacentral:rRNA from 1 species
CGGGUGAGUAACACGUGGGCAAUCUGCCCUGCACUCUGGGACAAGCCCUGGAAACGGGGUCUAAUACCGGAUACUGACCCCCGCAGGCAUCUGCGGGGUUCGAAAGCUCCGGCGGUGCAGGAUGAGCCCGCGGCCUAUCAGCUUGUUGGUGAGGUAAUGGCUCACCAAGGCGACGACGGGUAGCCGGCCUGAGAGGGCGACCGGCCACACUGGGACUGAGACACGGCUACAAACUCAUACGGGAGGCAGCAGUGGGGAAUAUUGCACAAUGGGCGAAAGCCUGAUGCAGCGACGCCGCGUGAGGGAUGACGGCCUUCGGGUUGUAAACCUCUUUCAGCAGGGAAGAAGCGAAAGUGACGGUACCUGCAGAAGAAGCGCCGGCUAACUACGUGCCAGCAGCCGCGGUAAUACGUAGGGCGCGAGCGUUGUCCGGAAUUAUUGGGCGUAAAGAGCUCGUAGGCGGCUUGUCACGUCGGUUGUGAAAGCCCGGGGCUUAACCCCGGGUCUGCAGUCGAUACGGGCAGGCUAGAGUUCGGUAGGGGAGAUCGGAAUUCCUGGUGUAGCGGUGAAAUGCGCAGAUAUCAGGAGGAACACCGGUGGCGAAGGCGGAUCUCUGGGCCGAUACUGACGCUGAGGAGCGAAAGCGUGGGGAGCGAACAGGAUUAGAUACCCUGGUAGUCCACGCCGUAAACGGUGGGCACUAGGUGUGGGCGACAUUCCACGUCGUCCGUGCCGCAGCUAACGCAUUAAGUGCCCCGGCCUGGGGAGUACGGCCGCAAGGCUAAAACUCAAAGGAAUUGACGGGGGCCCGCA